UACGUAGGGUGCAAGCGUUGUCCGGAAUUAUUGGGCGUAAAGAGCUCGUAGGCGGUCUGUCACGUCGGCUGUGAAAACCCGAGGCUCAACCUCGGGCCUGCAGUCGAUACGGGCAAACUAGAGUGUUGCAGGGGAGACUGGAAUUCCUGGUGUAGCGGUGAAAUGCGCAGAUAUCAGGAGGAACACCGGUGGCGAAGGCGGGUCUCUGGGCAACAACUGACGCUGAGGAGCGAAAGUGUGGGGAGCGAACAGG
rnacentral:rRNA from 1 species